AUUGAACGCUGGCGGCAUGCCUUACACAUGCAAGUCGAACGGCAGCACGGGAGCAAUCCUGGUGGCGAGUGGCGAACGGGUGAGUAAUAUAUCGGAACGUGCCCAGUCGUGGGGAUAACGUAGCGAAAGCUACGCUAAUACCGCAUACGAUCUAUGGAUGAAAGCGGGGGAUCGCAAGACCUCGCGCGAUUGGAGCGGCCGAUAUCAGAUUAGGUAGUUGGUGAGGUAAAGGCGUCACCAAGCCGACGAUCUGUAGCUGGUCUGAGAGGACGACCAGCCACACUGGGACUGAGACACGGCCCAGACUCCUACGGGAGGCAGCAGUGGGAAUUUUGGACAAUGGGCGCAAGGCCUGAUCCCAGCAAUGCCGC
rnacentral:rRNA from 1 species